UACGGGGGGUGCGAGCGUUGUCCGGAAUCACUGGGCGUAAAGGGCGCGUAGGCGGUUUGCUAAGGGUGUGGUGAAAGUCCGGAGCUCAACUCCGGAUCUGCCGUGCCGACUGUCAAACUCGAGGGCUGUAGAGGCAGACGGAAUUCCGGGUGUAGCGGUGGAAUGCGUAGAGAUCCGGAGGAAGACCGGUGGCGAAGGCGGUCUGCUGGGCAGUUUCUGACACUGAGGCGCGACAGCGUGGGGAGCAAACAGG
rnacentral:rRNA from 1 species